UGCAGGCUUAACACAUGCAAGUCGAACGCCCCGCAAGGGGAGUGGCAGACGGGUGAGUAACACGUGGGAACAUGCCCAAAGGUACGGAAUAUUCUCGGGAAACUGGGAGCAAUACCGUAUGUGCCCGAAAGGGGAAAGAUUUAUCGCCUUUGGAUUGGCCCGCGUUGGAUUAGCUAGUUGGUGGGGUAAAAGCCUACCAAGGCGACGAUCCAUAGCUGGUCUGAGAGGACGACCAGCCACACUGGGACUGAGACACGGCCCAGACUCCUACGGGAGGCAGCAGUGGGGAAUCUUGGACAAUGGGCGCAAGCCUGAUCCAGCCAUGCCGCGUGAGUGAUGAAGGCCCUAGGGUUGUAAAACUCUUUCGUGGGGGACGAUAAUGACGGUACCCCAAGAAAAGUCCGGCU
rnacentral:rRNA from 1 species